AGCAGUGGAGAUGCCUUCUCUGGACUGAUGAAUUACGCUUUUCCAUCUGGCAACCUGAUGGACCAGUCUGGGUUUGGAGGUCGCCAGGAGAACGCUACAUUUCGGACUGCAGUGUGCCGAGUGUGAAAUUUGGUGGAGAAGGAAUUAUGAUGUGGGGUUGUUUUUCAGGAGUUGGGCUUGGCCUCUUAAUUCCAGUGAAAGGAACUUUGAAUGCUCCAGGAUACCAAAACAUUUUGGACAAUUCCAUGCUCCCAACCUUGUGGGAACAGUUUGGAGCGGGCCCCUUCCUCUUCCAACACGACUUGUGCACCAGUGCACAAAGCAAGGGCCAUAAAGACAUGGAUGACAAGAGUCUGGUGUGGAUGAACUUGACUGGCCUGCACAGAGUCCUGACCUGAACCCAAUAGAACACCUUUGGGACUGCGAGCCAGGCCUUCUCCACCAACAUCAGUGUGUGACCUCAUCAAUGCGCUUUUGGAAGAAUGGUGGAAAAUUCCUAUAAACACACUCCGCAACCUUGUGGACAGCCUUCCCAGAAGAGUUGAAGCUGUAAUAGCUGCCACGACAUAUUGAACCCUAUGGGUUAGGAAUGGGAUGGCACUUCAAGUUCAUUUGUGAGUCAAGGCAGGUGGCCAAAUACUUUUGGCAAUAUAGUGCAUGUACUGCAGUCUCUCCUGCACCUCGGAUAGACAGUUCAAUGUUUUUUUUUCUUCCCAGGGACACAGCUUCACCCCUUUUGCCUUUUAUUUGACUUUACUUUUCCAUAAAAUAAAUGAAAAGACCACCCUCCACCGCCCUGUCCCUUUGUUGUCCUUUUAUUGGAUGUGGCGGUUUCAGCCAGAGAGUUCUUGUGGUCUGCAUGCGAGCGUCACUGCGUUGAUUAAUUCCCCAUGUAAACACCUCGUCUGAGGCGCGCUUUUCUUGUUUCUUUGCAAUUCUUUGGGAACACAUUUGAUGUACGGUAUUUAUAUUUGGAUUUCAUCUAUGCAACAUAUGUUUGUGUCUCCCUUGUGUAAGUGUAGCAAAAAAAAACAAAAAACAGAUUGGUUGGCUUUUUGCCAGGUGGCAGUUAGUUCUCCGUUUGUGGGAAGCAAAUUUGUUGCAAAUAAAAUCUAACUAAGAAGUUUCUUUGGGUGAUAUUGAUAUAGACAUAUUUUUUUUAACAAUAGUUGGCAAGUAUGAUUUAAUGGCAGCAACACAUUGCAAAAAAGUUGUCACAGGGGCAUUUUUACCACUGUGUUACAUGGCC